UUUACUUUACAAUUCCUUUCAUUUUUGUUUGUGUAUGUAGGUUUUGUUAAUUUUUUUUUUUAUCUUUUUAAGGUUGAUUUAAUUCAGCUGCAAUACCAAUAAAUGAAUAUGCAAAAUUAUUUCGAUAACACAACAUCUUCUUUACUAAAUUUAAUUUCUUAUAUCUAAACUUACUAGUUCCAUUGAAAAUUCCAGAAGAAGAAACUCUGUAAACUGUUUUUAAAGUUAGGUUUUCAAAUUUUCCAGCACAACCAAUCGAGGAGUUAACCAUAUCGAUUUUAUUGAUGUAAUACCAGAUAAACCGUGAACAAAUAUCAUUAUUCGAACAACUUCCUUCUGGGCAUAAACACGUGCCGUUAACGCUUCGCAUGUCAUUAAAAGUCUUAUUGUCAACAAGUAUCUCAACGUUACAUCUCAUAAAAGCCGUUGUUGAUGAACAAAUCAUUUUGAAAUGAUUUUGAUUGGUUGUUUCGUUUCUAAAUACCUCAGCCAUGAUUGUGAUAUCAGGAUAACUAUCUGUGGAUUAAUGUUUAAAAAUGAAAGAUCGACAGAUCAAUCGAAACAUGCUUUUCGAAUGAAAUUAAAAAUGUAACACAUUGAAUAGUUUAAGAAAAGAAAAUAAUAUUGAUAAGAUGAACACAUCUUGUUUUAUCUUAUUAGUUAUGAACACCAGUAUACUUUUCAAUAUUGUAACAAUAAUCCUUGAACUCAACAAUACUUGAUGCAUUGAUUGUUUUUGGCCCUAGUACUUCUGAUAUGGUAUCAGAUUCAUAAUCCUCUUCUCUGCUGUAAUAAGAUAUAUCUUAGGAAUAAUUCACAUGAAAAUCUGAAAGACAAACAAACUUAUUGUUU
rnacentral:lncRNA from 1 species